rnacentral:rRNA from 1 species
GGGUUGUGAGGUUAAGCGACUAAGCGUACACGGUGGAUGCCCUGGCAGUCAGAGGCGAUGAAGGGCGUGCUAAUCUGCGAUAAGCGCCGGUAAGGUGAUAUGAACCGUUAUAACCGGCGAUACCCGAAUGGGGAAACCCAGUGUGAUUCGUCACACUAUCAUUAACUGAAUCCAUAGGUUAAUGAGGCGAACCGGGGGAACUGAAACAUCUAAGUACCCCGAGGAAAAGAA